UUUGUUUUAAAUUAUAAAGAAACUUUCAAAUAUUUAAGGGUAAAAUUUUAAUUUUUGUAAGAGACAAUAAGUUAAAACAUGAAAUUUAUAUUAUGGACCAGGAUUAGAUACCCUGUUACUUAUAAUUAAAAAAUUUUGGAAUAGUAAUAAUAAUGAAAUUUAACGGAUUUGGCGGCAAGAUAGCCAUUUAGAGGAACCUGCCCUGUAAACGAUGAACCACGAAAUACUUUACUUUUAUUUGUUAUCAGUUUGUAUACCGCUGUUGUCAGUCAGUUUUAGUAGAAAACUUUCUAUUAUGAUAAAAUCAAAUACUUCAAGUAAAGGUGCAGCUUAUGUAAAAGAUAGAGGUGGGUUACAUUUAUAAAAUUAAAACGGAUAAAGAUUUUUGGAAAAUACUUUUGAAGGUGGAUUUAAAUGUAAAGUUUAAGAAAACUUGAUGUGAGCUCUAUCUUGUGUACACACCGCCCGUCGCUCUCUUUUUUAAAA
rnacentral:rRNA from 1 species